rnacentral:lncRNA from 1 species
ACUAGCAAGAGACACAGUAGACUUCUACAUUUGUCAUGUAGAAGUACACAGCUGCUGCACUGAAAAUCUUUUACAGCAUCGGGACUAUAUGAGUGGGCCUAAUUAAAAAAAAACUUUUUUUUUUAAUUCUUUUUUUUUUUUUUUUUUUUUUUUCUACCUGAGCAAGGUUCUGCGAUCUCAUGUUAUUCAUCAUAUGUGAUGAUAAUGUCUAAUCGGCAUCUUUUUUGCUUGCCUGGAAAUUGCUGAAGGAAAUCCUUCCAAGCAUCAGCUGCCAGUAUCUGUGCAAUAGUCCAAAUCAAGGUCUGGCUUCACUAAAAAACUGUGCUGUUAGUUCUCUGAAUUUCAGUAAGGUUAACUAUUGCAUGGUGUUAUACGCACAGGUGCCUGCAGCAAGUUCUGCUGCUGAAACACAUAUAUGAAGAGUUUCUUCAUGCACUUUAUGUGCACUUGUCCUGGGAAAUUGUCGUUUGAGUCACAGUGGUUCUUCUCUAUAGAUGACUAUUUGGCUGGAAUUAGAAGGGAGCCUCCUGUGCACAUUUUCUUUGAUUAUAUUGAUCUAGAAAGUUCUUCAGUAAGCCUGGCUGAGUGAAACAUAAAGUCUGUCAAGACUUCUGGCUGAACAGUUUUAAGCUGUCUACUUCCUGAAAGCAAUACUGGAAUCAGAAGCCCUGCUGUGAUGGUGCAGUCUACUGGGUCACUUCUGUCUGGGUUGCAUGCUAAUCAACUCAACCUGAAAUGCUGAUGGUGUUAAAGUAUUCUGUACCAUUCAUAACGGUUAACUAAAAUGCAAACAUUUGAUUCAUGUCACACAAGAGAUUUGCCACCCAGGAAACUCAAAAUUAUGACUAAAAUAUCAGCCCAUCAUGUUCAUCUCAGACCCCUAGUACUUCAAACUCUAACACUGUAGGAGAAUGAGUUCAGCUUUCCCAAUGAUACCCGUGUCCUCUUUGUAAUGUGCAAUUAUUAUUUCACUAACACCUCUCAUUCUAUCUACGUCAAAACUUAGAGUGAAUCUAAUGAACAGAGACAAACUGAAAUGAUUGCCAGCAUCAAAGAGAAAAAUAUUUUAUGUUGUGUGUGAAGACAAUAAUGAGAGUUUAGUUUUGGUUUUCAUUUGCUUUCAUUUUGUCUUCUUGUAGAUUAAAAAUAGUCAAAGUAUGUUCUCAAGUUUUUAAUAAAAGGCUUUCAAGUAUUGAACA